UGGGUCUCGCUCGUUACCUGACUUAACAGGAUGCUUCACAGUACGAACUGACGACGGCCAUGCACCACCUCUCAGCUAAUCCGGCAAAGUCUUCAGCCUGGCCUUCAUAUUGCUGUCGGUCCCGGUAAGAUUUCCGGCGUUGAAUCCAAUUAAACCGCAAGCUCCACCCGUUGUGGUGCUCCCCCGCCAAUUCCUUUAACUUUCAGCCUUGCGGCCGUACUUCCCAGGUGGCUCGCUUCACGGCUUCCCUACGGCACCGACAACGGUCGCACCGUGGCCGACACCUAGCGAGUAUCGUUUACGGCUAGGACUACCCGGGUAUCUAAUCCGGUUCGUGCCCCUAGCUUUCGUCCCUUGCCGUCAGGUCCGUUCUGGUGAGACGCCUUCGCCACUGGUGGUCCUUCAAGGAU
rnacentral:rRNA from 1 species